GAUGAACGCUGGCGGCGUGCCUAAUACAUGCAAGUCGAACGAAACUUCUUUAUCACCGAGUGCUUGCACUCACCGAUAAAGAGUUGAGUGGCGAACGGGUGAGUAACACGUGGGCAACCUGCCCAAAAGAGGGGGAUAACACUUGGAAACAGGUGCUAAUACCGCAUAACCAUAGUUACCGCAUGGUAACUAUGUAAAAGGUGGCUAUACUACCGCUUUUGGAUGGGCCCGCGGCGCAUUAGCUAGUUGGUAGGGUAAAGGCUUACCAAGGCAAUGAUGCGUAGCCGAAAUGAGAGGUUGAUCGGCCACAUUGGGACUGAGACACGGCCCAAACUCCUACGGGAGGCAGCAGUAGGGAAUCUUCCACAAUGGGCGAAAGCCUGAUGGAGCAACGCCGCGUGGGUGAAGAAGGUCUUCGGAUCGUAAAACCCUGUUGUUAGAGAAGAAAGUGCGUGAGAGUAACUGUCCACGUUUCGACGGUACCUAACCAGAAAGCCACUGCUAACUACGUG
rnacentral:rRNA from 1 species